GCCUCCUACAGCACCACUACAGGCGCACACAGGACAUAGCACCAGGGCUGCCUCCCCUGUCCUCCAAAACAACAACUUCUCAACCAUCUUGGAGCUACUACUGCUACUACUCUUCUAUUCACGGCACGGAGGCAUAUAAUUCUGACUGUAUGAGGGCACCCUUCUUGAGUUCAACUACAGCUCCCACCUUCCCAAAGGGUUUUGCUGGUGGCACCCAAACAACUGGCAAGUGGGCAGGGACGCUUCACAUAAUUUUGUUCAUUUAUAAUUCACAGCAGGCGCUUUGUAGUGACCUAAAAAAUCUUUUGUUGUACUUUGCCUGAAAUAUUUAUGGACACGGAUGAAGCUGAACAAUAAAUAAUGAAUGUGCGCUAUGAAUUUUGUUUUAUAUAUAUAGCGCCAACAUAUUCUGCAGCUUUAUUGAGAAUAUACCUCAUUCAUAUGAGUCCCUGCCCCAGUGAGCUUAUAGUCCAAGUCCCUACAAUGUUCACUCACACUGUGGGCACAUUUUCAGGAGCCAAUUAACCUGCUUGUAUGUACCUGUAUUAACCUAAAGAAAACCCACACAGACACAAAUAGAGCAUACAAACUCCUUGCAGACAGUGCCCUGACUAGAACUGAACUCAGGACCCCUGGAGUAGUACAAGGCUAUGGGUAGAGCCUUAGGAUACCACUCUGCUGUAAAUGACAACAGUUUUUUUUCAGUCUGAUGUAAUGGUUCUAUGUAUUUUUAUUUUCUCUGCUGUUUCUAUGUAUAGUGUAAUUGAAUCAUUUUAACUUGUCAUUUGUUUCCUCAUGUCAUUAAAUUAUUCAUCCUAUGCAA